rnacentral:rRNA from 1 species
CCUACCUACAUCAGGGGGAUAGCCCUAGGAAACUGGGAUUAACACCGCAUAACAAUAGAGUUGGCAUCAACUUUAUUUGAAAUAUUUAUAGGAUGUAGAUGGGCAUGCGUAGGAUUAGCUAGUUGGUAAGGUAACGGCUUACCAAGGCUACGAUCCUUAGGGGCUCUGAGAGGAGUAUCCCCCACACUGGCACUGAGAUACGGGCCAGACUCCUACGGGAGGCAGCAGUAGGGAAUAUUGGGCAAUGGAGGCAACUCUGACCCAGCCAUGCCGCGUGCAGGAAGACGGUCCUCUGGAUUGUAAACUGCUUUUGAAUGGGAAGAAUGUGCUCCUUGCGAGGGGUAAUGACGGUACCAUUAGAAUAAGCCACGGCUAACUACGUGCCAGCAGCCGCGGUAAUACGUAGGUGGCGAGCGUUAUCCGGAUUUAUUGGGUUUAAAGGGUGCGUAGGCGGCUUAAUAAGUCGGUGGUUAAAAGUAGCAGCUUAACUGUUUUACAUGCCAUCGAUACUGUUGAGCUUGAGAUAUUUGGAGGCAGCUAGAAUUUCCGGUGUAGCGGUGAAAUGCAUAGAUACCGGAAGGAAUACCAAUUGCGAAGGCAGGUUGCUACGAAUAAACUGACGCUGAUGCACGAAAGCGUGGGGAUCAAACAGGAUUAGAUACCCUGGUAGUCCACGCCGUAAACGAUGAUUACUAGUUGUUGGGGUUUAAGCUUCAGUGAC